CAGCCGCCACGGUAAUACGAGGGGGGCAAGCGUUGUUCGGAAUUAUUGGGCGUAAAGGGUGCGUAGGCGGCUUGACAAGUCUUGUGUGAAAUCUAUGGGCUCAACCCAUAGUCUGCACGGGAAACUGUCGGGCUUGAGAAUGGGAGAGGUGAGUGGAAUUUCCGGUGUAGCGGUGAAAUGCGUAGAUAUCGGAAGGAACACCUGUGGCGAAAGCGGCUCACUGGACCAUUUCUGACGCUGAUGCACGAAAGCUAGGGGAGCAAACAGGAUUAGAUACCCGGGUAGUCCCUGUCUCUUAUAC
rnacentral:rRNA from 1 species